rnacentral:lncRNA from 1 species
GAGAAACAAAACCUCUCCCUUCCACCCCGAGGAUUUUCUGAGGUGGAGGGAACAAAACAGUGGGGUUAAUCUGGAAGGCAGGUUCAUGCUGCACUGGAAAGAAGCAGGCGCAUCCUGCAUACGGCUCUGCCUGCUGUCUCUCAGCAUUGUCAGGAUGCUUCAUCUGUGGAUGCUUUGCUGUCUGCAAGGAGCAAAUGCAGAUUUCCCCCUCUCCUUCCUAGAAACAUCUCUCUUUUCAGGUUUAAUCCCAGCCAGAACCUUGGCUGAGGAGCACCCAAGUGGGAUCGCCCAGCAAACAGCACAAUGGAAGCAUGCUGCUGCCACCCUGUGGAAAAUGGUGGCCCCCAACUGCUGGGGGCCAUUCCAGAGGUUCACAAAGCUGCAGCUGGUAUGGUGGUUACAGAGAUAGGUGAGGCAGUCAUCGCCCUGAUGAGGCAAAUGGUGAACAAACUGGGGAGUUUCCUUAAAGCAAUUGCAGGAUUUGCAAGGAAGGUAUCUGGAUGCUGUGCAGACUGAACCAUGAAGACAGUUGGAGCGUGCAGCAGCACAGAACAGCAAUCCAUCACCACCAUGUGGGACUCACACAGGAAUCUAU